rnacentral:rRNA from 1 species
ACGGAGGAUGCAGGCGUUAUCCGGAUUCAUUGGGCUUAAAGGGAGCGCAGACGGUCCCGUAAGCCGGCCGUGAAAUUCCGGGGCCCAACCCCGGCCAGCGGUCGGAACUGCGGGACUUGAGUGCGGCCGAGGCGGGCGGAAUUCGUGGUGUAGCGGUGAAAUGCUUAGAUAUCACGAAGAACCCCGAUUGCGAAGGCAGCCCGCCAGCCCGCUACUGACGUUGAGGCUCGAAGGUGCGGGUAUCGAACAG